rnacentral:rRNA from 1 species
UACGUAGGUGGCAAGCGUUGUCCGGAUUUACUGGGCGUAAAGAGCGCGCAGGCGGUCGAUCAAGUCGAGUGUGAAAGCCCCCGGCUCAACUGGGGAGGGUCAUUCGAUACUGAUCGACUCGAAGGCAGGAGAGGGUAGUGGAAUUCCCGGUGUAGUGGUGAAAUUCGUAGAUAUCAAGCGGAACACCGGUGGCGAAGGCGGCCUUCUGGACAGUGACUGACGCUGAGACGCGAAAGCGUGGGGAGCAAACAGG